rnacentral:tRNA from 1 species
CUCGGUGUAGCUCAGUCUGGUCAGAGUCCUCGCCUUGGAAGCGAGAUGCCAUUGGUUCGAAUCCAAUCGCCGAGACCA